AUUGAACGCUGGCGGCAGGCCUAACACAUGCAAGUCGAGCGGAUGAAGGGAGCUUGCUCCUGGAUUCAGCGGCGGACGGGUGAGUAAUGCCUAGGAAUCUGCCUGGUAGUGGGGGAUAACGUCCGGAAACGGGCGCUAAUACCGCAUACGUCCUGAGGGAGAAAGUGGGGGAUCUUCGGACCUCACGCUAUCAGAUGAGCCUAGGUCGGAUUAGCUAGUUGGUGGGGUAAAGGCCUACCAAGGCGACGAUCCGUAACUGGUCUGAGAGGAUGAUCAGUCACACUGGAACUGAGACACGGUCCAGACUCCUACGGGAGGCAGCAGUGGGGAAUAUUGGACAGUGGGCGAAAGCCUGAUCCAGCCAUGCCGCGUGUGUGAAGAAGGUCUUCGGAUUGUAAAGCACUUUAAGUUGGGAGGAAGGGCAGUAAGUAAUACCUUGCUGUUUUGACGUUACCAACAGAAUAAGCACCGGCUAACUUCGUG
rnacentral:rRNA from 1 species